GUUUAGUGAAGAACCUAAUUCUGCUGACCGAUACAGCCAGAGAAGGGAUAAAUGUGGCCAAAGUUCAGCAGGAAAUGGAACAGGAGAUCUUUCUAUUAACAGGAAAGAGAAGGAAGCUUCAGUUUCGAUGGUCAUCAACCAAGACGACCUCAGGCCAACAGCUGUACACAAAUCCACCAAAGAUCUAAUCAGCCACGAGAGACAGACUCUAAGGCUCAAAACCGAAGAACGAUUAAGAGACACUCCGCCUGAAGCUGUUACUGAGCAGCAUGCACAUGAAUUCAUGUCCACGGCACCCUGCCACGUCUCCAUUAGUGCAACCAGGCCUCCCUCGGCUCAAACACCUGCUGUACCUGCGGUUUGCUUUGCACUGGUUGGUCCUGCGGGCCUCAGGGAUGCCAGUCCCCAGAAACCACCACCCGCCUCUGAAGUCUUGGUAAGAUGCUCCUUUGGAUUACAUCAACUACUUUCAGUUUAGUUUAAAAUCUAAAUGUUAAUGAUAUGGGUAAAGUAUAAGUGACUC
rnacentral:lncRNA from 1 species